CCCUUAGAUGUUCUGGGCCGCACGCGCGCUACACUGACUACUUCAACGAGUUGUUUCCUUGAUCGAAAGGUCUGGGUAAUCUUUGAAAGGUAGUCGUGAUGGGGAUAGAUCCUUGCAAUUUUUGAUCUUCAACGAGGAAUUCCUAGUAAACGCAAGUCAUCAGCUUGCAUUGAUUACGUCUCUGCCCUUUGUACACACCGCCCGUCGCACCUACCGAUUGAAUGGUCCGGUGAAUCUUUAGGACUGUGGCUGAGGCCUUGCCUUGUGCGGGUCUGGCCGUGGGAAUUUAGUUAAACCUUACCAUUUAGAGGAAGGUGAAGUCGUAACA
rnacentral:rRNA from 1 species